rnacentral:lncRNA from 1 species
CUCCCAUUGUGGAGCUGGCUUGGGAGGAGCACUGUGAGCUGUGGUCAGAGCUGCUACAGACGUUCACGAUGCAGGUGACAUUGACCUGGGUCCCAUGGCCACCAGGGGAAGAAUCUGAGCUCCCGGUGCUGGCCCGGGCCUCCCCGGCCCCACUGGCCUCCACGCCUGGUGCCUGUGGCUGGUUCCGAGUGGGCGCCCUUCUG